rnacentral:lncRNA from 9 species
GUUUUCUAUGAUUUCAGAUUUUAACUCUGUGGGACCCCUGGGGAUUGGGCAUUUAUCCACCUAUUUCAGUCCCACCCUGGCUAAAGAUGGCUCCUGAGGGUGUUCAUGCUCCUAUCUUUCCAGGAUUUGUCCAAAGAGGGCUGAGUAGGCUCAAGAGACUUUGAAAAAGACCUCGAAUCGAAAAAGCAGAAAGAAGUUCAUCAGGCAUUUAUGGGGAGGAACUGUCAGCUUAAGUCAUGAACUGGACUUCACAGCUGCCCCUGAAAUCACAGGGUGGCUGAGAGAUGUGGUGCCUGCCAGCUGAAGCUCUGCUGUACUCACUGUGGCUCAAGUCCAUUUUCAUUUCUUCUUUGCUAUGACCUUGUGAGUUAGGUGUUAAGUUUUCUACUUUCCAGUAUGGAAAAACUGAGGUCAUGAAUUGUCAACAACUGGUCGAGGAGCAAACAAGUGGGCAGUGCCUUUUGAGCCUCCAUAUAUUCUCAGAUCUUGACAUUUGGCUUCCUUUCUACUGUGCACACUUGCUUAAACCAAGUGUGAAUGAGGCUUAAUGCAUAAGGAUGCAAGAAGCAAGAUCAGAUAAUGCCAGCCUUCACCAUCAGGACAGCCAAAAAGGGCAUGGGACAGGGAUGUCAUGACUGUACCAUAAGAAGGUGCUUCUCUAAAGAGGGAAACACCAACCACUAUCCUCUGAGAUACAUCCUGGGAUGCAGGAGGACAUUCCAUCCCAAGAAACAAAGGAUGACAAUAGUUAUUAUUAUCAAAUCUGAUUUACAUAACAAAGCUGGAACAAUGGGGACCCUCUCUCAGAUGUACAUUUCAUCCCUGAAACUCCUGCUCAACAUUGAUUUUAUCAGCUCUGCUUAGAUUACUAUGACUGUUGCUCCUUUGGCCUCCCUAAACCACAGGUUGUUCCCUUUUCAUCUGUCACCUGCAAGAUUAGCCAAAAAGAUUAGCUUGCAUGAUCACGGACAAUUUUCAAGACAUUUGGAAACUAAGCAUCCAGAACAUGGAAACAAGACUAUUUCCAGCUAUGUUUAAAGUCACGCAGUAGCCAAUGAAGUACUUGACAAAAUUUCACUGAACUUAUCGUUAAGUGCUUAGAAGCCUAUUUUGAGUUUUACUGCUUAUUAGCAAAGCC